CCGGCCGCCCCCGCGCACCCAUUUUCUCGCGGUCUUGGCGAGACUUGGCGGUCGAGGUAGGCGUGCGCAGCCCGCUCUUCCGGUCUCCGUGACGACAUGGCGGUGGUGCUGGUGGCGGUGGCAGCAUGUUGUCCAGCAAAGGGAAAAAUACCCUUUGCGCUCACCUUCCCAGGAGGCUGAGUCUUUCACCAGGCUGGCAGUAAGCCUGUAUCAGCAGCACAAAGGAGGAAAAUGUUGUACAGAACCCUGAGGUUAUAUCAUCCCCCAGAGACAGCUUUGGCAAGAAGGCAGCUGUGAAGUUGGACCUCAAACUGAACUCAUGUCUGUUUGUAGAAGAUCAGUACUGUUCACUGAUGGGCUGAACCAGCAGACUUGACGACAGCACGCUUCCGUAGGAAAUAAAGGAGAGAGGCGUGUACUCUUGAUUCAGUAACGCACAUCAUUGGGAACUUUUCAGCUGAUGGUUGCUUCUGCUCUGGCUCUCCUUUCCACAGGACCUGAUCUGCAGCUGGCUGGAGGAAGGAGCAAGUGGUUCCUGCAGUUUGCUGUUUCUGAAUAAAACAAAUCAUUGAAAAUCUUGA